UCACAUUGUAAUUUCAAUUUUAGUUUGUUCGUGACUUUAUUUCUUGGAGCUUACAUACUGUGCCAUUUGAUUUUCUCCUUCGUUUUGAUUUAUGUUAUGAAUUCAGAGUUUGAUUUCAUCAUUUAUCAUUUUUUCAUUCAGAGCAUGGCAAUGGACGGUGAAUAAGGUGAGCCAUUAUCUCUCCCUUCUCUAUUUGUAGCAUGCUCUUUUAUUGAGGUUCUUAAAUGACAUCUGAUUUCAUUUUGUAUUUGGUUUGUGAGUUUCUAUUCUACACCUAUUAUGCGUGCAAGUGUAAGAAUAGAAAGCACAGGUCCAUGGACGCUUUGAGAAAAUAAGCAACAAAAAGUUUAACUUCUUCUACUUCGUUUGAGCGAGCAUCGCUGUAUGGUUCUAGGAAUAUUCUUGACCAUCACAGAGACAUGAGGAUGGGCGUAGAUAACAUGAGCUAUGAGGAACUUCUUGCACUUGGUGAGAGGAUUGGCCAUGUUAACACAGGGUUGUCUGAAGACUCGCUCACCAAGAAACAGUGUAAUCUUUCUGAAGCUGAUUUCAUCCAAGGUUACUGAAUCACCCUUAUAAGGCAAGUCUUCAUGAGAUCAACGAGGAACCCAGUUGCCCAUCUCCUUUAAUUUUUGAUUUCGAGCAGGCAACUCUUGACGAAGAAGAUAUAAAGGAGCUCAUAUGGAAGGAGUCUCUGAACUUCUGCUAGGAUCAGAUGCAAUGGACACAACUGCAACCACUAUUUAGAAGCAUGCAUUGGUAAAGGAAGCCAGUGAAGGAAGCACAGAGCUUGGUUUCUCAUUAAAGCAUGAUAUUGUGAGUCUGGUUCUAGAUAUUAUAGAUUUGUCUAAAUGGCACAUGUUCUAGUUUUAAUGGAUUUUUCUCCAAGGUAGAGGCACAUGAUCUUAAAAACAAAGUGAUUCAAACAAAAAGAAGUUGCAGAGAUUAGGGGAUGAUUAUUUUGAAG